AUAAUACUCCCUCUAUCCGGAAUUACUUGUCAUCAAAAUGGAUGUGUCUAGAACUAAAAUACAUCUAGAUACAUCCAUUUCAAAGACAAGUAUUUUCGGACGGAGGGAGUAGUAG
rnacentral:pre_miRNA from 1 species